rnacentral:rRNA from 1 species
GGACUACAGGGGUUUCUAAUCCUGUUUGCUACCCACGCUUUCGUGUCUCAGCGUCAGUGAUGGUCCAGAAAGCCGUCUACACCGCAGGUGUUCCUCCUGAUAUCUACGCAUUUCACCGCUACACCAGGAAUUCCGCUUUCCCCUCCCAUACUCAAGCCCCCCAGUUUCCGGCGCACCCUCCCGGUUGAGCCGGGAGAUUUCACACCGAACUUAGAGAACCGCCUACACACUCUUUACGCCCAGUAACUCCGAACAACGCUUGCUGCCUACGUAUUACCGCGGCUGCUGGCAC